UGAUUCUGAAAAUCCAAAAUCAGAUGAAUUAGCAUUACUAUGGCCAAAUAUGAUAAAUGUUUUACAUUAACAUUCUAUAUUGAAGGAACUAAUCCAAUGCUUACGAAGUGUAAAAUAUUGCCAAAAAGUAUUAUAUUGUCAAAAUCUUCAGUGGCCUCAAAUAUGGUCAACCAUUGAUAGACGCCGUAUUAAAUGGGAAUAAAAGAUUUGAACAUAUAUAUAAGGAUCAAUAUGUUCUUUCUGCAAUUAUACAUCCAGCAUUCAAACUUCAAUGGUCAUGGAUAUAACUUCCACAGAACGAACCUAUUAAGAAAACUUAUAGCGUUUUUGAAAUGCUUUGAAAACCCUAGAGAAUUGUUAAUUUCGAGAUAUCCUUUUUUAUGUCGAGAGUAGAGAAUGGAUUGGAAGAAGAUAACUUAUCUCAAUUUUUUGCAAAUAACAAAACAAUAUGUUUUUAAUUAAUUCUCCACGUUAAAAGAGUUGUUUAUUAAGUAUAAUACCGCAAUCCCCUCAUCUUCCCCUGUAGAGCGUGUUUUUAGGCUAAUGCCGUAUUAACUGCCAAGUGUUCCUGUCUGUCAGAUAAAUAUUUUGAAAACAGUUGUUAUUAUAAUUAGUGAAGGUCACGGUCCGGUCUUUGGUCCGGACUGGACCGAUACCCUCGGACCGGACCACGGUCCUUAAGAAAAAAAUCGAUCCAGAGUGGUCCUAAAUAAAAAGACCGGUCCUGGAUCGGUCUUUUUAUUUGUUUAAAAAACAUAUUUUUUAACCUAAUUUGAUUUGUUUUAUCAUUUUAUUAAUAAAAUAAUUAGGUACCUUAAGCAGACAUCUGAUAAAACAUAAAAUAUAUACUUCUAAUGAUGAAAAUGAAAAUAUCUCA